ensembl:lncRNA
CCUAGGCAACUUCAGUUCAGCUCCACUUUCCACCUUACAUGGGUCACACUCUAUGUGUGAGUCUUGGGUCUUGUGUUGUAGGUUGAGUGUGUGUGUCUUGUGUCUUGUGUUGUAGGUUGAGUGUGUGUGUCUUGUGUUGUAGUUUGAGUGUGUGUGUCUUGUGUUGUAGGUUGAGUGUGUGUGUCUUGUGUUGUAGGUUGAGUGUGUGUGUGUUGUGCUGUACGUUGAGUGUGUGUGUCUUGUGUCUUGUGUUGUAGGUUGAGUGUGUGAGUGUGUGUGUCUUGUGUUGUUUGUUGUGUGUGUGUGUCUUGUGUUGUAUGUUGAGUGUGUGAGUGUGUGAGUCUUGUGCUGUAGGUUGAGUGUGUGUGUCUUGUGCUGUAGGUUGAGUGUGUGAGUGUGUGUGUCUUGUGUUGUAUGUUGAGUGUGUGUCUUGUGUUGUAGGUUGAGUGUGUGAGUCUUGUGCUGUAGGUUGUGUGUGUGUUCAGACAUCAGAGUGUGUGUUCAGACAUCAGAGUGUGUGUUCAGUCAUCAGAGUGUGUGUCCUCUCAUAUCACUGAUUCUCUGCCCUGCA